rnacentral:rRNA from 2 species
UUAAGCAUAUCAAUAAGCGGAGGAAAAGAAACCAACAGGGAUUGCCCUAGUAACGGCGAGUGAAGCGGCAAAAGCUCAAAUUUGAAAUCUGGCUUCGGCCCGAGUUGUAAUUUGUAGAGGAUGUUUCGGGCACCGCCCCGGCGUAAGUCCCUUGGAACAGGGCGUCAUAGAGGGUGAGAAUCCCGUCUGGCGUCGUGGUAGGGCCCAUGUGAAACUCCUUCGACGAGUCGAGUUGUUUGGGAAUGCAGCUCAAAAUGGGUGGUAAAUUUCAUCUAAAGCUAAAUACUGGCCAGAGACCGAUAGCGCACAAGUAGAGUGAUCGAAAGAUGAAAAGCACUUUGAAAAGAGAGUUAAACAGUAUGUGAAAUUGUUGAAAGGGAAGCGCUUACAACCAGACUUGAGCCCGUCGGUUCCCCCUCGCUUCUGCGUGGGCUACUCCGGCGGGUCCAGGCCAACAUCGGUUCGGGUGGCUGGUCAAAGGCCCCGGGAAUGUACCUCACCUUCGGGUUAGGCUUAUAGCCCGGGGUGUCAUGCGGCCUACCUGGACCGAGGAACGCGCUUCGGCUCGGAUGUUGGCGUAAUGGUUGUCAGCGACCCGUCUUGAAACACGGACCAAGGAGUCGAAGAGCUAUGCGAGUGUUUGGGUGUCAAACCCGUACGCGUAAUGAAAGUGAACGGAGGUAGGAAGCUUCGGCUGCACUAUCGACCGAUCCUGAUGUUCUCGGAUGGAUUUGAGUAAGAGCAUAACUCUCCGGACCCGAAAGAUGGUGAACUAUGCCUGAAUAGGGGAAGCCAAGAAAAAGUCGUAACAAGGCUCGCAGCGGUUCUGACGUGCAAAUCGAUCGUCAAAUUUGGGUAUAGGGGCGAAAGACUAAUCGAACCAUCUGGUAGCUGGUUCCUGCCGAAGUUUCCCUCAGGAUAGCAGUAACGUUUUCAGUUUUAUGAGGUAAAGCGAAUGAUUAGAGGCCUUGGGGUUGAAACAACCUUAACCUAUUCUCAAACUUUAAAUAUGUAAGAAGUCCUUGUUACUUAGUUGAACGUGGACAUUUGAAUGUAUCGUUACUAGUGGGCCAUUUUUGGUAAGCAGAACUGGCGAUGCGGGAUGAACCGAACGUGAGGUUAAGGUGCCGGACUGCACGCUCAUCAGACACCACAAAAGGUGUCAAUGCAUCUAGACAGCCGGACGGUGGCCAUGGAAGUCGGAAUCCGCUUAGGAGUGUGUAACAACUCACCGGCCGAAUGCAUUGGCCCUGAAAAUGGAUGGCGCUUAAGCGUGCGACCUAUACCUCGCCGUCAGGGUUGACAUGAUGCCCUGACGAGUAGGCAGGCGUGGAGGUUUGUGACGAAGCCUUGGGGGUGACCCCGGGUCGAACAACCUCUAG